rnacentral:rRNA from 1 species
ACGGCUCAGUAAUUCAGUGAUAAUCUGUUUGAUUUUCUCUCCCAUUGGAUAACCGUGGGAAAUCUAGAGCUAAUACGUGCGGUACAUUGAUGUGCUCUCGGGUAUGUCAAAGCAUUUAUUAGACUAAACCAACUAUUAUGCAUUUGCAUAGUAAGGGGAAUCUGGAUAACUUUGCUGAUCGUAUGGCCUUGUGCCGGCGACGUUUCAAUUGAGUUUCUGCCCUAUCAACUUGUUGGUAAGGUAUUGGCUUACCAAGGUUGCAACGGGUAACGGGGAAUCAGGGUUCGAUUCCGGAGAGGGAGCCUGAGAAACGGCUACCACAUCCAAGGAAGGCAACAGGCGCGCAAAUUACCCAAUCUAGACAGUAGGAGGUGGUGAAGAGAAUUACUAAAUGGUGGUCCAAUGGAUCACUUGUUUGGAAUGAACGUAACUUAAGAAAUUCGUUGAGAAACAACUGGAGGGCAAGUCCUGGUGCCAGCAGCCGCGGUAAUUCCAGCUCCAGUAGUUUGCUUUAAAGUUGUUGCGUUUAAAACGCUCGUAGUUGGAUCACGCAGCGAUAUUCAGUAAUCUAUUGCACGAUGCCGCCAUUUGUAUCCGUCACUGACGGCCAUUUGGUGGUGUCUGCUUCAGAUGCCAUGCUGAAUGUUGCUAGUUGCACGUGAGAUAGAUUGUUGGCCUUAAAUGAGCCGAUAUUCUGGUCUUGCGGGGUGUGCCUUGAAUAAAACAGAGUGCUUAAAGCAGGUUAUUGCCUGAAUGUUAUAGCAUGGAACGAACAAUCGUGUAUAUGUGUGCGUCUUUGAAUAGUUGUGAGCCUUUGGUUUAUAGUUGUUUAAGAUGCGCACGGCACCCACCAAAAUAUGGCUGUUGGUUCCAUAUACGGUGAUGAUUAACAGGAGCGGUUGGGGGCAUCGGUAUUUGGCCGCGAGAGGUGAAAUUCUUAGACCGGCCAAGGACUAACAAAUGCAAAGGCACUUGUCUAGACCGUUUCCAUUAAUCAAGAACGAAAGUGGGAGGUUCGAAGACGAUCAGAUACCGUCAUAGUUCCCACCGUAAACUAUGCCGACCUGGGAUCAGUUUAGAGAUGUUACAAGCUCUAGAUUGGUCCCCCUGGGAAACCUAAAGUUUUUCGGUUACGGGGAGAGUAUGGUCGCAAGGCUGAAACUUAAAGGAAUUGACGGAAGGGCACCACCAGGGGUGGAGCCUGCGGCUUAAUUUGACUCAACACGGGGAAACUUACCUGGUCCGGACAUCGAUAGGAUUAACAGAUCAAUAGCUCUUUUAUGAUCCGAUGAGUGGUGGUGCAUGGCCGUUCUUAGUUCGUGGAGUGAUCUGUCAGUUUAAUUACGGUAACGAACGAGACCACAGUCUCCAUUUAACAGAUAGAAGCAGACGUAUAAUACAUCGUCAGCCUGUGCUGGGGAUGGCUAAACGUUGUAGGUAAAGUAAUGCGUCCUGUGGUAAGUGUAUUGGGGAAACUUGGUGCAUUUAUCGUGGGAUGUGUUGCGUUCCCUUUUAUCACGCAGCAGUUGGUUUCGAUUGGCUGUUGUCUUAUGGAGAGACAACGAGGUAUAUACAAGCUCGAGGAAGAGUGGCUAUAACAGGUCAGUGAUGCCCUUCGAUGUUCAGGGCUGCACGCGCGCUACAAUGAUAACGACAACGAGUGUCUGCGUCGAAAGACGUGGGUAAUCUUUAAUCGUUAUCGUGAUGGGGAUUGACCGUUGUAAUUUUCGGUCAUGAAAGAGGAAUCCCUAGUAUGCGCAUUUUAAUAGAAUGUGCAGAUUGAGUCCCUGCCCUUUGUACACACCGCCCGUCGCUACUACCGAGUGAAUGGUGUCAUGAUGCGCUGGGACUGGACGUUAGAUGGGUUUUGCGAUUCGUCCGAUGCUGGGAUCAGCGUAAAAUGGCGCAAUUUCGAGGA